AGUGAACGCUGGCGGUAGGCCUAACACAUGCAAGUCGAACGGCAGCACAGUAAGAGCUUGCUCUUACGGGUGGCGAGUGGCGGACGGGUGAGGAAUACAUCGGAAUCUACUUUUUCGUGGGGGAUAACGUAGGUAAACUUACGCUAAUACCGCGUACGACCUACGGGUGAAAGCAGGGGAUCUUCGGACCUUGCGCGAUUGAAUGAGCCGAUGUCGGAUUAGCUAGUUUGCGGGGUAAAGGCCCACCAAGGCGAGGAACCGUAGCUGGUAUGAGAGGAUGAUCAGACACACUGGAACUGAGACACGGUCCAGACACUUACGAGAGGGAGCAGUGGGGAAUAUUGGACAAGGGGCGCAAGCCUGAUCAAGCCAUACCGCGUGGGUGAAGAAAGACUACGGGUUGUAAAACCCUUUUGUUGGGAAAGAAAAGCAGCAGGGUAACACCCAGCUGUUCUGACGGUACCAAAAGAAUAAGCACCGGCUAACUUCGUG
rnacentral:rRNA from 1 species